UACAGAGGUCCCAAGCGUUGUUCGGAUUCACUGGGCGUAAAGGGUGCGUAGGUGGUGAGGUAAGUCCGAUGUGAAAGCUCCGAGCUCAACUCGGAAAUUGCAUUAGAAACUACCUUGCUAGAGGGUUGGAGGGGGGACUGGAAUUCUCGGUGUAGCAGUGAAAUGCGUAGAUAUCGAGAGGAACACCAGUGGCGAAGGCGAGUCCCUGGACAACUCCUGACACUGAGGCACGAAGCUAGGGGAGCAAACAGG
rnacentral:rRNA from 1 species